GCUGGCGUAGCUCAGUGGUGGAGCUUCUGAUUUGUAAUCAGGUGGUCGGUGGUUCGAAUCCACUCGCCAGCUCCA
rnacentral:tRNA from 2 species